CCCUUAGAUGUCCUGGGCUGCACGCGCGCUACACUGAUGUGUCCAGUAAGCACCUAACCUAUUCCGAGAGGAGCGGGUAACCUUAGCAAAGCACAUCGUGAUGGGGAUAGAUUAUUGCAAUUAUUAGUCUUGAACGAGGAAUUCCUAGUAAGCACAAGUCAUCAGCUUGUGUUGAUUACGUCCCUGCCCUUUGUACACACCGCCCGUCGCACCUACCGAUUGAAUGGUCCGGUGAAGCCUCGAGAUUGUGGCCAGCUCGCUUUAUUGGGAGUUGGUUGCGAGAACUUGUCUAAACCUUAUCAUUUAGAGGAAGGUGAAGUCGUAACA
rnacentral:rRNA from 1 species